GACAAAACGAGUUGCAAUAAACAA
rnacentral:siRNA from 1 species